GAUGAACGCUGGCGGCGUGCUUAACACAUGCAAGUCGAACGAGAAAUGGAGACGGAAACCUUCGGGCGGAAGGCUUCAUUUCGAGUGGCGGACGGGUGAGUAACGCGUGGGUAACCUGCCUCAUACAGGGGGAUAACAGUUGGAAACGACUGUUAAUACCGCAUAAGACCACAGCACCGCACGGUGCGGGGGUAAAAACUCCGGUGGUAUGAGAUGGACCCGCGUUCGAUUAGCCAGUUGGCGGGGUAACGGCCCACCAAAGCGACGAUCGAUAGCCGAUCUGAGAGGAUGACCGGCCACAUUGGGACUGAGACACGGCCCAAACUCCUACGGGAGGCAGCAGUGGGGAAUAUUGCACAAUGGGGGAAACCCUGAUGCAGCGACGCCGCGUGAGUGAAGAAGUACUUCGGUAUGUAAAGCUCUAUCAGCAGGGAAGAAAAUGACGGUACCUGAGUAAGAAGCCCCGGCUAACUACGUG
rnacentral:rRNA from 1 species